rnacentral:snRNA from 1 species
AUGCUUGCUUCGGCAGCUCAUAUACCAAAAUUGGAACGAUAUAAACAAAAUUAGCAUGCCCCCUGCGCAAAAAACCAAGAAAACGAGCCACCAAAAGUGUUA